CCUACGGGUGGCUGCAGUAGGGAAUUUUCGGCAAUGGGGGGAACCCUGACCGAGCAACGCCGCGUGAAGGAAGACGGAAUUCGUUCUGUAAACUUCUGUUAUAAAGGAAGAAAGACGGCUGGAGGAAAUGACAUCCGAGUGACGGUACUUUAUGAGAAAGCCACGUCUAACUACGUCCCAGCCGCCGCGGUAAUACGUCGGUGGCAUGCGUUAUCCGGAAUUAUUGGGCGUAAGGAGGGAGCAGGCGGCAGCAAAGGUCGGUGGUGAAAGACUGAAGCUAAACGUCAGUAAGCCAUAGAAACCGGGCAGCUAGAGUGCAGGAGAGGAUCGUGGAAUUCCAUGUGUAGCGGUGAAAUGCGUAGAUAUAUGGAGGAACACCAGUGGCGAAGGCGACGAUCUGGCCUGCAACUGACGCUCAGUCCCGAAAGCGUGGGGAGCAAAUAGGAUUAGAUACCCGAGUAGUC
rnacentral:rRNA from 1 species